ensembl:lncRNA
AAGCAUCGGACGUCACUGAUCACGUGACUCUGGCCAAACAAAUCAAGCUUCGACACACGCACCGGAGCGUCAGCUUCAAGCGGGCCAUCACUACUUUAUGGCUGUCUCCCCCAGGAGGAGUGUGAAAGGCCAGAGAGAGGAGACAGGGGAGCAAAGAAAAAUAUGGACUUUUUGGAGACGGCACGACACGGGAGUCAAGGGAGUGCACGGCAGUUUUUUGUGUGAAUUAUUUACACCACUGUAAAUAAAUGCACUGUUCAUCACAAAGAGUCCAAGGUUUGUGUCUUCAUUUCCCACAUCCCCAAAGUGUGCCACACAGCCAGUGACAGCCAUGGAUUUAACACCUUUCCUCUGCUUUUUCCUUACUACAUAUUUUUGGGGAUUUGCUUCUGCUCUCGAUGGUCAGCCACGAGGACUCACGGAGGAUGGAUCUGUUGAACUGAUGGUUGGUCUGUCAGCUUCUGCUGGGCUUCUUGUUGCUACUGUUGCUGGUUUUGUGAUCUACAGAAAAUUUGCGAAUUCAAAUUAUCGCUCUCCUUCUGAACAAAAGCCAGUUUCCAGGACUCCCAAGGAAACUGGAAAGAUGACAAUGGAAGUCCAACCCGAGAGUCCUCUCCUAUUAAACAGUUAAAUACAGACUGAAGAAGUCACUUGGACGAGAGAUGAAACGUUUCUCCUACAAAACGCUACGUCUGAAUGAACAGAAUCAACUUUUGGAGAGUUAAAUAUAUAAAUUUUUGUUUUCAAGUCUCAAAACAGAGUUAAAGCUAAUGUGCACUGUUGUUCUCUCAGCCCACUGAGAGGAAAAGCACAUCUUUAUCAAAAACUCCUGCAACAACCUCUUUUUGUGGAUUGUGUGUUUUUAUUGUCUACUUUUUUUUUAUUUAGGAAAGUGCAUGUUAAUUACAUGUAAAAAAAAAUUACAUGAAUGUAAACAUACCAGAUUAUAGCCAAGGGCUAAUUUCCAUCUGUUGUCCAUAAAACAUAAAAAAUAAACAUAAUAAUUCAUAAAAAAUUCAUAAUUCAUUCAUAAUCUAUUUAUCCCCUUCGUAUAUUUUAUUUAUAUUUGUCUCUGUAUUUAUAUGUGUGUGUGUGUGUGUGUGUGUGUGUGUGUGUGUGUGUGUGUGUGUGUGUGUGUGUGUGUAUAUAUAUAUAUAUAUAACAUUCUGUAACUGUAACUUCUGUCGUUGCUGUGCUUUUUUGGAAACCGAAUUUCCCAGAGGAACCCACCCGAGGGAUUAAUAAAGUUCUAUCUUAUCUUAUAAUAAAAACUCCAUCACCAAACUCACACAUACACACCAUUCUGUUCCCAAAUGAAACAUUAAAACUGUACAACUCA